UCUGUUUUCGACUUCGAACAGCAAAAAUCAAACGAUGGCAUCCAUCUUUGUUUUAGUUUACAGCAGCUAUGUAGCUGAGGUAAACUACAAUAAUGACAAUUACAACAAUGACGUCACAAUCCAACCGUAUAACGUCAUCGCGGUAGGACUACGAGAAUACUACUUUUCAUGUACUUUAAAGUAUCUUGUUACGCUCCGCCCCCAAGGGAACUACCGCGCGGUACUAGGACCUCGAGAAUGGCUGCCUAAAUCAUAAAUGUAAAACAUUUGUCCUUACAUUACUUUGUUUAAUUGAAAAAAAAAGAAUUUUGCUUUUUUCGUAAAUAAUUAUAAUUUCAAUUGGGAUUUUGCUAUGAAUACGAAAUACAAGAUACUCUACUUAAAAUAAAAUUAAACAAUUCGAAUUUGUUUAAAAAUUUUUAUCUCAUCCUUAAAUAAUUAAAAUGUUAACCAAAAUUACUUUCGUAGUUUCAAAAAUAACGGAACAUUUUAUUUUCAAGUAUAUUAUCGAUCAAUUUAUGAAAAAC
rnacentral:lncRNA from 1 species